GUCUACAGCCAUGCCACCCUGAAUGUGCCUGAUCUUGUCUGAUCUCGGAAGCUAAGCAGGGUCGGGCCUGGUUAGUAUUUGUUUGGAUGGGAGACCACCUAGGAAGACCAAGUGCUGUAUGCG
rnacentral:rRNA from 1 species